rnacentral:rRNA from 1 species
GAUGAACGCUGGCGGCGUGCCUAAUACAUGCAAGUCGAGCGGUAAGGCUUCCACAAUUUGCUUAAACGAUGAGACUGGUCGCGGAAGUUUCGAAGAAACUUUCGCCUCUAAAACGAAGUGAUGAACUUCGGUCUAUCAUAAAUCCAACUCUAGGCAGAGGAGGAGUUUGAGCAAAAUGUGGAAGUACACGAGCGGCGGACGGCUGAGUAACGCGUAGGAACGUACCCCAAAGUGAGGGAUAGCCCACCGAAAGGUGGAUUAAUACCGCAUGUGGUCCAAGGACUAAAGCUUUAUGCGCUUUGGGAACGGCCUGCGUAUGAUUAGCUAGUUGGUGAGGUAAUGGCUCACCAAGGCGACGAUCAUUAGCUGGUCUGAGAGGAUGAUCAGCCAGACUGGGACU